rnacentral:rRNA from 1 species
UACGGGGGGGGCAAGCGUUGUUCGGAAUUACUGGGCGUAAGGGCUCGUAGGCGGCCAACUAAGUCAGACGUGAAAUCCCUCGGCUUAACCGGGGAACUGCGUCUGAUACUGGAUGGCUUGAAUCCGGGAGAGGGAUGCGGAAUUCCAGGUGUAGCGGUGAAAUGCGUAGAUAUCUGGAGGAACACCGGUGGCGAGGGCGGGUCUCUGGGCAGUAACUGACGCUGAGGAGCGAAAGCGUGGGGAGCGAACAGG